AUUGAACGCUGGCGGCGUGCCUAACACAUGCAAGUCGAGCGGUAACAGGUGUAGCAAUACAUGCUGACGAGCGGCGGACGGGUGAGUAACGCUUGGGAAUCUGCCUGAUAGUGGGGGACAACCCGGGGAAACUCGGGCUAAUACCGCAUACGCACUACGGUGGAAAGCCGGGGACCGCAAGGCCUGGCGCUAUCAGAUGAGCCCAAGUCGGAUUAGCUAGUUGGAGGGUAACGGCCUACCAAGGCGACGAUCCGUAACUGGUCUGAGAGGACGACCAGUCACACCGGAACUGAGACACGGUCCGGACUCCUACGGGAGGCAGCAGUGGGGAAUAUUGGACAAUGGGCGAAAGCCUGAUCCAGCGACGCCGCGUGGGUGAAGAAGGCCUGCGGGUUGUAAAGCCCUUUCGGUGGGGAAGAAAAGCCUCGAGUUAAUACCUCGGGGUCUUGACGUAACCAUAGAAGAAGCACCGGCUAACUCUGUGCCAGCAGCCGCGGUAAU
rnacentral:rRNA from 1 species